UACGGGGGGGGGCAAGCGUUGUUCGGAAUUACUGGGCGUAAAGCGCACGUAGGCGGCUCGUUAAGUCAGGGGUGAAAUCCUGGAGCUCAACUCCAGAACUGCCUUUGAUACUGUCGGACUAGAGUCCGGAAGAGGCGAGUGGAAUUCCCGGUGUAGCGGUGAAAUGCGCAGAUAUCGGGAGGAACACCAAUGGCGAAGGCAGCUCGCUGGGACGGUACUGACGCUGAGGCGCGAAAGCGUGGGGAGCAAACAGG
rnacentral:rRNA from 1 species